rnacentral:misc_RNA from 1 species
GAUGAAGAACGCAGCGAAAUGCGAUAAGUAAUGUGAAUUGCAGAAUUCAGUGAAUCAUCGAAUCUUUGAACGCACAUUGCGCCCGGCAGUAUUCUGCCGGGCAUGCCUGUUCGAGCGUCAUUUCAACCAUCAAGCCCCAGCGCUUGUGUUGGGGGCCUGCAGCUGCCGCAGCCCCCUAAAAGCAGUGGCGGGCUCGCUAUCACACCGAGUGCAGUAGUUCAUCUUCUCUCCGGUCUUGUGAGGCGGGUUCCGGCCGUGAAACACCCAUCAUACUCAAGGUUGACCUCGGAUCAGGUAGGAAUACCCGCUGAACUUAAGCAUAUCAAUAAGCGGAGGA